rnacentral:rRNA from 1 species
CCUACGGGUGGCAGCAGUGAGGAAUAUUGGUCAAUGGGCGGGAGCCUGAACCAGCCAAGCCGCGUGCGGGAAGAAGGUACUACGUAUCGUAAACCUCUUUUGUCCGGGAACAAAGGCAGGGACUAGUCCCCGGAUGAAAGUACCUUAAGAAUAAGCAUCGGCUAACUCCGUGCCAGCAGCCGCGGUAAUACGGAGGAUUCGAGCGUUAUCCGGAUUUAUUGGGUUUAAAGGGUGCGCAGGCGGCCCGUUAAGUCAGGGGUGAAAGGCCGGGGCUCAACCCCGGCAGAGCCGUUGAAACUGGCGGGCUGGAGUGUGAGAGAAGUACGCGGAAUGCGAGGUGUAGCGGUGAAAUGCUUAGAUAUCACGAAGAACUCCGAUUGCGAAGGCAGUUUACUGGACUGCAACUGACGCUGAGGCUCGAAAGUGUGGGUAUCAAACAGGAUUAGAUACCCUUGUAGUC